rnacentral:rRNA from 1 species
UACAGAGGGUGCGAGCGUUAAUCGGAAUUACUGGGCGUAAAGCGUGCGUAGACGGUUAUUUAAGUCGGAUGUGAAAUCCCCGGGCUUAACCCGGGAACUGCGUCCGAUACUGGCAGGCUUGAAUCCGGGAGAGGGAUGUGGAAUUCCAGGUGUAGCGGUGAAAUGCGUAGAUAUCUGGAGGAACACCGGUGGCGAAGGCGGCAUCCUGGACCGGCAUUGACGCUGAGGCGCGAAAGCUAGGGGAGCAAACGGG